GACGUAGGGUGCGAGCGUUGUCCGGAUUUAUUGGGCGUAAAGAGCUCGUAGGCGGCUCGUCGCGUCUGCCGUGAAAACCCGCAGCUCAACUGCGGGCUUGCAGUUGAUACGGGCGGGCUGGAGUUCGGUAGGGGAGACUGGAAUUCCUGGUGUAGCGGUGAAAUGCGCAGAUAUCAGGAGGAACACCGGUGGCGAAGGCGGGUCUCUGGGCCGAUACUGACGCUGAGGAGCGAAAGCGUGGGGAGCGAACAGG
rnacentral:rRNA from 1 species